UACAGAGGUCCCGAGCGUUGUUCGGAUUCAUUGGGCGUAAAGGGCGCGUAGGCGGCGGGGAAAGUCUGAUGUGAAAUCCUGGGGCUCAACCCUGGAACUGCAUUGGAUACUUCCUUGCUAGAGUACUGGAGAGGAAACUGGAAUUUACGGUGUAGCAGUGAAAUGCGUAGAGAUCGUAAGGAAGACCAGUGGCGAAGGCGAGUUUCUGGACAGUUACUGACGCUGAGGCACGAAGGCCAGGGGAGCAAACGGG
rnacentral:rRNA from 1 species